UACGGGGGGGGCAAGCGUUGUUCGGAAUUACUGGCGUAAAGCGCACGUAGGCGGAUUGUUAAGUCAGGGGUGAAUCCUGGAGCUCAACUCCAGAACUGCCUUGAUACUGGCGACCUUGAGUCCGGGAGAGGUGAGUGGAACUGCGAGUGUAGAGGUGAAAUUCGUAGAUAUUCGCAAGAACACCAGUGGCGAAGGCGGCUCACUGGCCCGGUACUGACGCUGAGGUGCGAAAGCGUGGGGAGCAAACAGG
rnacentral:rRNA from 1 species